CAGAGGUUUGGUCCUAGCCUUUCUAUUAGUUGUUAGUAAACUUACACAUGCAAGAAUCCCCGCCCCAGUGAGAAUGCCCUCUAAAUCAUAUUAUGAUAAAAAGGAGCAGGUAUCAAGCACACUACCAAGUAGCUCAUAACGCCUUGCUUAACCACACCCCCACGGGAAACAGCAGUGAUAAAAAUUAAGCCAUAAACGAAAGUUUGACUAAGUUAUACUAAAAAUUAAGGGUUGGUAAAUUUCGUGCCAGCCACCGCGGUCAUACGAUUAACCCGAACUAAUAGACAUCCGGCGUAAAGCGUGUUUAAGAAUAAGAUCAAAAAUAAAGAUAAAUACUAGCUAAGCUGUAAAAAGCCCCAGCUAUCAUAAAAUAAAUAACGAAAGUAACUUUAGAAUAUCUGAACACACGACAGCUAAGACCCAAACUGGGAUUAGAUACCCCACUAUGCUUAGCCGUAAACUCAAAAAAUUUUAAUAAACAAAAUUAUUCGCCAGAGUACUACUAGCAAAAGCUUAAAACUCAAAGGACUUGGCGGUGCUUUAUAUCCAUCUAGAGGAGCCUGUUCUAUAAUCGAUAAACCCCGAUAAACCUCACCAACCCUUGCUAAUUCAGCCUAUAUACCGCCAUCUUCAGCAAACCCUAAAAAGGAACCACAGUAAGCACGAUCAUCCAACAUAAAAACGUUAGGUCAAGGUGUAGCUAAUGAGUUGGGAAGAAAUGGGCUACAUUUCCUGUCACAGGAUAAUUUACGGAUAUCUCUAUGAAACCAGAGAUUAAAGGUGGAUUUAGUAGUAAGCUAAGAAUAGAGAGCUUAGCUGAAUAAGGCCAUGAAGCACGCACACACCGCCCGUCACCCUCCUCAAAUACUGCUAAAACAAUAAUAAAAUUAUAGCCCAAAAUUAAGCUUAUGAGAGGAGAUAAGUCGUAACAAGGUAAGCGUACUGGAAAGUGCGCUUGGUUAACU
rnacentral:ncRNA from 1 species